rnacentral:rRNA from 1 species
UGAUCCAGACUUUGAUUCUGGCUCAGGACGAACGCUGGCGGCGCGCCUAACACAUGCAAGUCGAACGAGAGAAGAAGAGCUUGCUUUUCUGAUCGAGUGGCGAACGGGUGAGUAACGCGUGAGGAACCUGCCUCAAAGAGGGGGACAACAGUUGGAAACGACUGCUAAUACCGCAUAAGCCCACGGCUCGGCAUCGAGCAGAGGGAAAAGGAGCAAUCCGCUUUGAGAUGGCCUCGCGUCCGAUUAGCUAGUUGGUGAGGUAAUGGCCCACCAAGGCGACGAUCGGUAGCCGGACUGAGAGGUUGAACGGCCACAUUGGGACUGAGACACGGCCCAGACUCCUACGGGAGGCAGCAGUGGGGAAUAUUGCACAAUGGGGGAAACCCUGAUGCAGCGACGCCGCGUGGAGGAAGAAGGUCUUCGGAUUGUAAACUCCUGUUGUUGAGGAAGAUAAUGACGGUACUCAACAAGGAAGUGACGGCUAACUACGUGCCAGCAGCCGCGGUAAAACGUAGGUCACAAGCGUUGUCCGGAAUUACUGGGUGUAAAGGGAGCGCAGGCGGGCGAUCAAGUUGGAAGUGAAAUCCAUGGGCUCAACCCAUGAACUGCUUUCAAAACUGAUUGUCUUGAGUAGUGCAGAGGUAGGCGGAAUUCCCGGUGUAGCGGUGGAAUGCGUAGAUAUCGGGAGGAACACCAGUGGCGAAGGCGGCCUACUGGGCACCAACUGACGCUGAGGCUCGAAAGUGUGGGUAGCAAACAGGAUUAGAUACCCUGGUAGUCCACACCGUAAACGAUGAUUACUAGGUGUUGGAGGAUUGACCCCUUCAGUGCCGCAGUUAACACAAUAAGUAAUCCACCUGGGGAGUACGACCGCAAGGUUGCAACUCAAAGGAAUUGACGGA